rnacentral:misc_RNA from 1 species
AGAGAGAGAGAGAGAGAGAAUUUGUGUUUUAUGAAGCAAAAUAAGAGCUGGAAUUCAUUCCCAGGGAAAAUUAAUGAAGCGGUUGGACUUGGAACUGAGAAUAACAAUCAAUAAGACGAAGAUUCCCAAGAAGGCAAAACAGCUGUGUUUGGAACAAGAACCAGAACAAGCAGAGAUACAUUAAUGGAAAGAAAGGGGGAGAGAAAUGGAGGGAAUCUGAGAGAAGAAAUAUAAGAAGAGAGUAGAGACAAACGUGAACUGAGCAAGAGAGAAAUUGGUGUGUUUGUAUUGUCUGUAUUGGAAGUUUGUAAUAUCGUUUAGUGGGUAAAGAACAGAGCAGGUUGUUUUGAUGAAAAUGAAUUAGAAAUGUAUAGUUCAUGUGAAGUGAAUUUUAAUUUGGAUAAAUUAUUAUAUAGUCUUUGUAUUAUAGUAAAAUUAAAGAUUUGAUUUU